AUUGAACGCUGGCGGCAGGCCUAACACAUGCAAGUCGAACGAGUGGCGGACGGGUGCGUAAUGUCUGGGAAACUGCCUGAUGGAGGGGGAUAACUACUGGAAACGGUAGCUAAUACCGCAUACCAUCAUUUUUUCCCAUAUGUGAUUAGCUUGUUGGUUGGGUAACGGCUCACCAAGGCGACGAUCCCUAGCUGGUCUGAGAGGAUGACCAUCAACACUGGAACUGGAACACGGUCCAGACUCCUACGGGAGGCAGCAGUGGGGAAUAUUGCACAAUGGGCGCAAGCCGGAUGCAGCCAUGCCGCGUGUAUGAAGAAGGCCUUCGGGUUGUAAAGUACUUUCAGCGGGGAGGCGUGACCCGCAGAAGAAGCACCGGCUAACUCCGUGCCAGCAGCCGCGGUAAUUG
rnacentral:rRNA from 1 species